GACGAACGCUGGCGGCGUGCUUAACACAUGCAAGUCGAACGAGAUCCAACGAGUGGCAACACUCGGGAGGAUCUAGUGGCGAACGGGUGCGUAACACGUGAGGAACCUACCCCGGUCUCUGGAAUAACAGGUGGAAACACCUGCUAAUACCAGAUGCCGUCAAAUCAUCGCAUGGUGAACUGACGAAAGAAUUUCGGAUC
rnacentral:rRNA from 1 species